rnacentral:lncRNA from 1 species
UUACUGAUAAAUGAGUUUUAUUGUAAAUUAUGCUCCAUUGGUCUUUUCGUGUUUUCUACCCACCUUUACCUCCGUGACAGUGAGAUAUCGUGAUGUCCUUAUUGGGCUAGUGUAGCUCAUUCCUUAUUUAAUCAUUUCAGAUCAGGAAGACAUUGUUCCCGAGCUCGUUCCGCAAGAAGACGACAUAGGGGACGCCUAAAGACUCCAAAGUCAUAUU